rnacentral:rRNA from 1 species
ACGCUGACAGAAUGCUUAACACAUGCAAGUCUACUUGAACUUCGGUUUGGGUGGCGGACGGGUGAGUAACGCGUAAAGAACUUGCCUCACAGUUAGGGACAACAUUUGGAAACGAAUGCUAAUACCUGAUAUUAUGAUUUUAGGGCAUCCUAAGAUUAUGAAAGCUAUAUGCGCUGUGAGAGAGCUUUGCGUCCCAUUAGCUAGUUGGAGAGGUAACGGCUCACCAAGGCGAUGAUGGGUAGCCGGCCUGAGAGGGUGAACGGCCACAAGGGGACUGAGACACGGCCCUUACUCCUACGGGAGGCAGCAGUGGGGAAUAUUGGACAAUGGACCAAAAGUCUGAUCCAGCAAUUCUGUGUGCGCGAUGACGUUUUUCGGAAUGUAAAGUGCUUUCAGUUGGGAAGAAAAAAAUGACGGUACCAACAGAAGAAGUGACGGCUAAAUACGUGCCAGCAGCCGCGGUAAUACGUAUGUCACAAGCGUUAUCCGGAUUUAUUGGGCGUAAAGCGCGUCUAGGUGGUUAUGUAAGUCUGAUGUGAAAAUGCAGGGCUCUACUCUGUAUUGCGUUGGAAACUGCAUGACUAGAGUACUGGAGAGGUAAGCGGAACUACAAGUGUAGAGGUGAAAUUCGUAGAUAUUUGUAGGAAUGCCGAUGGGGAAGCCAGCUUACUGGACAGAUACUGACGCUAAAGCGCGAAAGCGUGGGUAGCAAACAGGAUUAGAUACCCUGGUAGUCCACGCCGUAAACGAUGAUUACUAGGUGUUGGGGGUCGAACCUCAGCGCCCAAGCUAACGCGAUAAGUAAUCCGCCUGGGGAGUACGUACGCAAGUAUGAAACUCAAAGGAAUUGACGGGGACCCGCACAAGCGGUGGAGCAUGUGGUUUAAUUCGACGCAACGCGAGGAACCUU